GACGAACGCUGGCGGCGCGCUUAACACAUGCAAGUCGAGCGAGAACCGGGACUUCGGUCCCGGGGACAGCGGCGAACGGGUGAGUAACACGUGGGUAAUCUGCCCUCGAUUCUGGGAUAGCCCGGGGGAAACCCGGAUUAAUACCGGAUAGCCUUUCGAGCCUUCGGGCGCGAAAGAAAAGGUAGCUUCGGCCUCCGAUCGAGGAUGAGCCCGCGGUGGAUUAGCUUGUUGGCGGGGUAAUGGCCCACCAAGGCGACGAUCCAUAGC
rnacentral:rRNA from 1 species